UUAUUAAAUAGCAUUAUAAUUAAAACUCGUGAGUUGACGUAGUGGUAAGGCUGUUUGCUAUGUUCUGGGGUACGAGUUGGAAGAGAAUCUCUAAUUUUCCUUCACCCGUUCGUUAUUUUUUUUUAUUUGCCCAUUUGUGAACCCUAGGUUACGAGAGGGAGAGAGGUUUGAGGCGCGAGAGCGAGAGAAAGGAGAGCAUCCAAUGCUCAAUCCAGGUUUUUGGGUAACAUCAGAGGAUGAAUAAGAGAGAACUGAACUGAAGCUCCCUGCAAUUUGAUGUUUUUGUCGGAAAAUCUCGAAAACAUGGGAAUAUGAGUGCACUGUGUUCUCUCUCUGAUUUUAAACCAUUUCCUGAAGUUAGUGAUUAUUUUCUUUAGGGUCGAGUUUGAGUUGAAUUCAAUGUCGAUCUGAUAAUCAGCAUUGAGCAGUGUACAAUUUAGUUGAAAAUGAAGUUUCUUGAUUGGUACUUGAAGAUUGGGUUUGUAUCUGCUUUGGUUGGGGCUUCUAUGGAGGUGUUCAUGAUCAAAACUGGCUUCUGUAUGAUAAAGUAACUGUUUUGGAGUCAGAAAAGCGUGCCUGGGAGAAUUCCCCGGAUGCUCAGGCAAUUAGAGAAGCUCUCAACCCCUGGAGACAUAUUGAUGCCGAAGAUACAAAAAAGUCCUGACUGAAGUAUGAAGCAUUUUCUUAAAAUCCAUUAGUCAUUUUUUGAGAACACAAGAUUUAUUCGAGAAUAUACUGGAAUAAAAUGAUAACAAUUGGACUAGUUAUUCUAUUAUGAAACUGAAUCUGGUAUUGUCCAUCCCACAAAGUGGAUUGCUUGUUACAUCUUGUCAGCUGGACCCCAAAUCAUGGCAACUUUGGGAUGACUCACACAACCUUCAACUUUACCAUCUUGCGUUGAAUCUUUUAUAUAUUUUAUUUGACUUUUGAAGAAGUGUUCAGUGUUUUCUUGCUAAUAUGAUACACGUACUACACCAAGACGAGUGCAAGUGUUCUCAACCAAAAGAAACCGCAAAUGUUUCUUAAAUUGCUUCGUUACCUCUUAUAUGCAAGUCUUUUUAAUUCUACAAUUUCAAUUGAUAUUUGAUAUUUCAUCUCCUACACCCGAAGGAGAAACACAUUUUGGGGCUGCUUCUUGUGGCCCCAUCGUAGAGCUUCAACAAUGUUUACAUGGACUGUCAUAAUCAUAAUUCACUAAUUUCAUUUGGUCUUCA